AACGCUGGCGGCGUGCUUAACACAUGCAAGUCGAACGAUGAAGCCCUUCGGGGUGGAUUAGUGGCGAACGGGUGAGUAACACGUGGGCAAUCUGCCCUGCACUCUGGGACAAGCCCUGGAAACGGGGUCUAAUACCGGAUACUGAUCGCCUUGGGCAUCCUUGGUGAUCGAAAGCUCCGGCGGUGCAGGAUGAGCCCGCGGCCUAUCAGCUUGUUGGUGAGGUAAUGGCUCACCAAGGCGACGACGGGUAGCCGGCCUGAGAGGGCGACCGGCCACACUGGGACUGAGACACGGCCCAGACUCCUACGGGAGGCAGCAGUGGGGAAUAUUGCACAAUGGGCGAAAGCCUGAUGCAGCGACGCCGCGUGAG
rnacentral:rRNA from 1 species